AGAGUUUGAUCCUGGCUCAGAACGAACGCUGGCGGCGUGCUUAACACAUGCAAGUCGGACGAGAAAUCUUUUCUUCGGAAGAGAGAGUAAAGUGGCGCACGGGUGAGUAACGCGUAGAUAAUCUACCCUUAGGUUGGGGAUAACACUGCGAAAGCGGUGCUAAUACCGAAUAAGUUCCAACCGGCGCGAGUCGGAUGGAAGAAAGGUGGCCUCUGAUACAAGCUAUCGCCUGAGGAUGAGUUUGCGUAUCAUUAGUUAGUAGGUGGGGUAAGGGCCUACCUAGGCGACGAUGGUUAGCGGGUCUGAGAGGAUGAUCCGCCACACUGGAACUGGAACACGGACCAGACUCCUACGGGAGGCAGCAGUGAGGAAUUUUGCGCAAUGGGGGAAACCCUGACGCAGCGACGCCGCGUGAGUGAAGAAGGCCUUCGGGUUGUAAAGCUCUGUCAGGUGGGAAUAAGUUCAUCAUCGUUAAGAGCGGUGGUGUUUGAAGGUACCAUCAGAGGAAGCACCGGCUAACUCCGUGCCAGCAGCCGCGGUAAUACGGAGGGUGCAAGCGUUGUUCGGAAUCACUGGGCGUAAAGGGCACGCAGGCGGCCCAUCAAGUCAGGUGUGAAAGCCCGGGGCUCAACCCCGGACGGGCAUCUGAAACUGGUGGGCUUGAGUAUGGGAGAGGAAAGUGGAAUUCCCGGUGUAGAGGUGAAAUUCGUAGAUAUCGGGAGGAAUACCUGAGGCGAAGGCGACUUUCUGGACCAAUACUGACGCUGAGGUGCGAAAGCGUGGGUAGCGAAC
rnacentral:rRNA from 1 species